rnacentral:rRNA from 1 species
GACAGAGGGUGCAAACGUUGUUCGGAAUUACUGGGCGUAAAGAGCUCGUAGGCGGUCUGUCGCGUCGGUCGUGAAAACUUGGGGCUUAACCCUGAGCUUGCGGUCGAUACGGGCAUGACUGGAGUUCGGCAGGGGAGACUGGAAUUCCUGGUGUAGCGGUGAAAUGCGCAGAUAUCAGGAGGAACACCGGUGGCGAAGGCGGGUCUCUGGGCCGAUACUGACGCUGAGGAGCGAAAGCGUGGGGAGCGAACAGG